GCCAGUGUGGUGUAGUGGUUUGAGUGUUGGACUACGACUCUGGAGACCAGGGUUCGAUUCUCUGCUCGGUCA